AGAAGAAACAAUUUGGACCCCCUUUCCUGGAGGAAGAACAGCAUGAGAGCAAGCUCGGCUCUGAAUGUGGAACUGCUGCCCAUCCAGGAGUUCUGUCUCCUGAGAAGCGGGACUGCAGGGCAGCUUGGCCAGGCAGCUGCCACACGAGGCACGGUGUGCGGAUAGGUCAAAUGCCUUGUGAUGGAAGACAGGACAGACAUCACGAGCUACUGCCAACUUCGACCAGAGAAAGAGGGAGUCACUGAGAACUCUGAGUCUGACAGGAUGAAUUGAGCAGAUAAGAAACAGGGAUCUCCAGGGACCUUGAGGACCUGAACAUCUGUUAGAAAUUUCAUUCGGCUAAAAAUAGAACUCCUGGUUUCCUCUCCUGCCCGUCCUGGCUCGCACGCAGAGAGCACGGUGAGACUGGAUCGUGCCGGCGUGUUUGCUGCCCACCUCACUGCAUCGAGGGCACGCGCUGUCAUCAGGCUGGUGUGCCCAUCUCCCCCGGGGCUCAAGGGCAAGCUGAGCUCUUUAGGGGCAGCUUGGUUGUGGAGCACUUGAGAGCAAGGCUGCUGGAGUCUGAUCAGCCUGAUUUUCAUUCCCUGCUCUUCCUCCUCCUGGUUCUGCGACUUUAGGAAAGUUACCCAGGAGAACAGCCAGGGUGCGGCACGUCUUGCAUUCACAAGGGAUCCUCAGUGGUGUCCUGAUGCGUCCGGAGGUUCUAAUGUCUGCUGCCAUUCAUUAGACACAGGACGUACCCACCCACUCAUGCCCAUCUGAAGAACCUAACUUCACCUUUCCAAUUCGGAGAUUCUGCUCUUUGGUGGAAAAGAUUGAAAACCAAGAAAACGAGCACUUUUGUUUUUUCUCUGUCACAUGU